rnacentral:rRNA from 1 species
CUUAAAUUGAAGAGUUUGAUCAUGGCUCAGAUUGAACGCUGGCGGCAGGCCUAACACAUGCAAGUCGAGCGGAAACGAAUUAACUGAACCUUCGGGGAACGUUAAUGGGCGUCGAGCGGCGGACGGGU